rnacentral:rRNA from 1 species
GAUGAACGCUGGCGGCGUGCCUAAUACAUGCAAGUCGAGCGAACAGAUGAGAAGCUUGCUUCUCUGAUGUUAGCGGCGGACGGGUGAGUAACACGUGGGUAACCUACCUAUAAGACUGGGAUAACUCCGGGAAACCGGGGCUAAUACCGGAUAAUAUUUUGAACCGCAUGGUUCAAUAGUGAAAGACGGUUUCGGCUGUCACUUAUAGAUGGACCCGCGCCGUAUUAGCUAGUUGGUAAGGUAACGGCUUACCAAGGCGACGAUACGUAGCCGACCUGAGAGGGUGAUCGGCCCCACUGGAACUGAGACACGGUCCAGACUCCUACGGGAGGCAGCAGUAGGGAAUCUUCCGCAAUGGGCGAAAGCCUGACGGAGCAACGCCGCGUGAGUGAUGAAGGUCUUCGGAUCGUAAAACUCUGUUGUUAGGGAAGAACAAAUUUGUUAGUAACUGAACAAAUCUUGACGGUACCUAACCAGAAGGCCACGGCUAACUACGUGCCAGCAGCCGCCGUAA